AGCUUUGCACAGUGGCCAUGUCGUAGCCAAGGAGGUUCAUCCGAGGUGCGAUUAUUGCUAAUCGAAAUCUUUUCCCAAUACCCGCCAUGACGACUGGAAAUAUAGUCGGCAUUGGUAAUUUUUGACGGUCUCUAUGGAGA
ensembl:snRNA U4 U4 spliceosomal RNA